AUCUUUUUCUAUUUGAGUAGCCAGUAAUCCCUAGAUGAGCCUCACAGCAGACUCUGUUUGCUCUGUGCCUAUCAAUGUUUAUCUCAUUUGCAGCAGAAAAAGCAAUCCCGGGAAACAGGAAAUUCACUCGGAGGAGAAACGCUGCAGUGCCCUCACUCAUGAGCUUUGGAGGGCAAAUCUGCCUCAGGGUUUCAGCAGACUAUUCUUCAGCCACCUUCCAUUCAUCGUUAGGAACAACAGCUAAAUAACUCCUAGCCUGUUUCAUAACAGGGAUACUAGCCUGAGAGGCCACAAAGUUGCAUUUUCUUCACAUUACUGCAUCAAGUAAGAAAUCUAAAGGCAGCAACUACUACGCAAACACUGCAGCUAAUGGCAUACAUGCAAACAAGCUCUUUCUGGUGAAAGAUCUGGGAGAUCUCGAGCCCUGUGCAAGCACCUAGUGCCUUUGGAGGAGAGGCCAGAUGGACAAAUAGCAAGCGUUGCCUCAUAUACAUCCCUAGACCAUCAAACCUGUAAGAACACAGUUACUUCAAGAACACCCCCUGUUUUUCAAGAAUUACUUUGCUGCCCUCUCUGUGGGAUAUAGGAUAAGUAUCUAUCACCCAGCCCUCCAGAAGCCCCAAGCAGUGCAUUUUAAUUUUAUUUGGUCUCAGAGCAGUCCUGUCCAGGUAUGUUUGCAUUUCUAUUUAUUUUGGUUCUGGUUGUGUUUGCUUCUCUUUCUCUGUUUAGGUUUUCUCCAGGAAACACGCAAUUUGCUCAGCUUCUGGAGGUGCCAUUCUUUUCACCAUCUUCCAGUAACAGACCCAAUUCUAAUUGGGAUUUUUGCCUAUGUGAGUUAGUUGACCUUUACAUCAGAGGAAUUACACUGGUGGAAAACUAAGCUGACAACAGCUCUUCCAAAUCCUGUUAAAUUUCUGUUGCUGGAAUUCAGCUUUUUCACUUAUUUUUCAUAUAUAUUUUCAUCUUUUAGAUCCAUAUAGUGCUGUGCUAGCUGGGUGCUUUGGGAGCAUUAGGAAAUGGUCUAGCACACAACCCAAAAAUAGAUAUAAGCCAUUUCAAGUCAUCUGAAGGGGUUGGGAAGAAAUAGGUAUCACGGCCAUUACAUUUACCUGAGAGAGAAACAAGGGUAGAUGUUAAUAUCUGGUGCCUAAUAUGGAAAGGCAAAGGAAGUAUUAAUCCCCUCUUUCUCCUUUGUCCCCCAUUAAAUCUAUGCCAGGCUAUGAUAUAAACUUGCAUUCACAGACACAUUUCUGCCAGGUGAACCUACAAAAUCCUUUAUAGAGCAAAUGUGAUGAAUCACUGUUCCCUCGUUGCUGUUGUUCCUCGUGCUGAACACGUUCCUCUUCUUCUGCUUUGUCCCUCUGCAGAGGGGUCAGUUAAGGUGCCUACUGAAAGGCACUGCCCAUCAAACUGGGUGUAAGGAGUUUGAUGGCCAAAGACAUCUGGACGUGACAUCCUCAUGUGCUGCAGGCUGCAGCGUGGGUCAGCCAGCCCAGGGAGAGGGUUCAGCCAUUUAUUUUUCUUUUGACCUAUUUUCUGAGUGACAUUUUAUGCUUCCCCUUAUUGCUCUUUACCAAGUCAGCACCAUGACAGCCUCGGGGCAAUGUGCUUUCAAUAUCCCAAGGGCCAGCACAAGCCCACCGGUGCUGGACACCCUGCCAGAUCCCACUGCACUUCACUGAUUUCAAUAGCCAUCAGAUUAAAUCCUCCUGUUUGCAAAUCCUCUUUCCAGAAGGCAGCCUGCACUGCACAGCAGGGGUAAAGAAUACCCUGCAAAGUCCAGGCCAGCGCUUAAGCUGAAGAUGUACCCUUCAUUUUUUUCAGUGGCUUUGAUUUUUAGCUCUGUAGAAUUUUCCAGGCUUUGGCUCCCAACCUUUCCUAAAGCAAUUAUGUGACUUUGAAAAAAAAGACAAUUCAUUUUUUGCCACUUCUCCAGCUCUGCCAGCUGUUCAUGGCUUUAUAGAGAAUCUUGCACUAUUUGGUGUCUUGCCUAAAGUUCCAUGCGAUUAAUCAAAGCAGCUCAGCCUUCACUGAAAAAUAAAUCCCCAGCUCCAUCCCUGAGCCCAAAGUUUCGAGCUGGCCACAACAUGCACAGCAUGUCCUGUCUGCACCAGCUCCAGCCCUGCAAAGUGUAGCCCACCAACAUGACCCAAGCCAUGGACAUGGCCUGACCGGUAGUACUAAACAACAAUUUUCAUUGCAGCUGUCUGCAGGGCUCCUGUGAAUUAACACAAUGCAACAUUUACCAGCACAAUGUGAUAUUUACUGGAGGGGCAGUGGGGUGCUAGUCGUCCCCCCUCCACGCAUGUUAGCUCCAGCUGGCAUGGCACGUGCUCCCGUAUCACAAAACAUGGUCUUGUAGCUGCGCAUCCCCCCAUUCAGAUCAGGGCCAUCGCUGGAAUAACAAAUAAAUAAAUAAAUGAAAAGUUCAGGAGAGGAAAGAUUAAGCUUUUCAAAAGGAAGUAAAUUAUUGAGUGGAAGUAUUUCAAGGAAAUGAUUUUAUCGCUCUGAAAUUUUAUCCGUCCUUUAUAAAACAAACAACCUGGGUAACUACUUUUUCAGGCUACAUUUUGCUGGCAGUUUUUAUCUGCAGAAAGGAUUAGCUUAUCCGUGGAUGGAACGUGCUGCACACACCCUGUUCCCAUGCAGAUUCAUGCAGCCGGGAGCUGCGUUUCCAGCUCAGCUCUAGGACAUUUUUCUGUAGCUAACUCGGAUGACUGCAAAGACCAUUAGAACAUUUUAUAGUUGGAAUUUGCAGGAACAUACUGUACCCAGAAGGAAAAUAAUCAUUGAUAGGGGAAGUGCAAGAUCUGUGAUCCCUGUAAUUAUGCAGAUGAUCCUCUCCAGAGGUCUGUGGUAUGUGAGAAGGUCACAAUGAUGGCUUUCGGCUGCAGCGCUUUAAUAGUCCACUGAAAUCCAGCUGUUCCUGCUCUCAAAUCUACUUGGCUGCAGCCCUGACUGGCACAUCAGCAUGAGUGGUUUUGUUUCUCACAGUGGACAUGCACA